rnacentral:rRNA from 1 species
UACAGAGGGUGCAAGCGUUAAUCGGAAUUACUGGGCGUAAAGCGUGCGUAGACGGUUAUGUAAGUCGGGUGUGAAAGCCCCGGGCUCAACCUGGGAAUGCCAUUCGAGACUGCAUAGCUAGGGUGCGGAAGAGGGAAGCGGAAUUUCCGGUGUAGCGGUGAAAUGCGUAGAUAUCGGAAGGAACACCAGUGGCGAAGGCGGCUCACUGGCCCGAUACUGACGCUGAGGCACGAAAGCGUGGGGAGCAAACAGG